rnacentral:rRNA from 1 species
UUGAGUAGAGCGGCGGACGGGUGAGUAACGCGUAGGAAUCUACCUGGUAGUGGGGGACAACUUGUGGAAACGCAAGCUAAUACCGCAUACGACCUAAGGGUGAAAGUGGGGGACCUUCGGGCCUCGCGCUAUCGGAUGAGCCUGCGUAGGAUUAGCUUGUUGGUGGGGUAAAGGCUCACCAAGGCGACGAUCCUUAGCUGGUCUGAGAGGAUGAUCAGCCACACUGGAACUGAGACACGGUCCAGACUCC